CCUACGGGUGGCAGCAGUAGGGAAUAUUCCACAAUGGGCGAAAGCCUGAUGGAGCAACGCCGCGUGGGUGAAGAAGGUCUUCGGAUCGUAAAACCCUGUUGUUAGAGAAGAAAGUGUGUGAGAGUAACUGUUCACGUUUCGACGGUAUCAAACCAGAAAGCCACGGCUAACUACGUGCCAGCAGCCGCGGUAAUACGUAGGUGGCAAGCGUUAUCCGGAUUUAUUGGGCGUAAAGGGAGCGCAGGCGGUCGUUUAAGUCUGAUGGGAAGGCCGUCGGCUUAACCGGCGUAGUGCAGUGGAAACUGGAUGACUUGAGUGCAGAAGAGGAGAGUGGAACUCCAUGUGUAGCGGUGAAAUGCGUAGAUA
rnacentral:rRNA from 1 species